rnacentral:rRNA from 1 species
UACGUAGGGGCCUAGCGUUGUCCGGAUUUAUUGGGCGUAAAGAGCUCGUAGGCGGUUCGGUAAGUCAGGUGUGAAAUCUCCACGCUCAACGUGGAGGCGCCACCUGAAACUGCCGUGACUCGAGUCCGGAAGAGGAGAGUGGAAUUCCUGGUGUAGCGGUGAAAUGCGCAGAUAUCAGGAAGAACACCCGUGGCGAAGGCGGCUCUCUGGGACGGUACUGACGCUGAGACGCGAAAGCGUGGGGAGCGAACAGG